rnacentral:rRNA from 1 species
ACGAACGCUGGCGGCACGCUUAACACAUGCAAGUCGAACGAGAGAAGAGAAGCUUGCUUUUCUGAUCUAGUGGCGGACGGGUGAGUAACACGUUAGCAAUCUGCCUUUCAGAGGGGGAUACCGAUUGGAAACGAUCGUUAAUACCGCAUAACAUAAUUGAACCGCAUGAUUUGAUUAUCAAAGAUUUAUCGCUGAAAGAUGAGCUCGCGUCUGAUUAGCUAGUUGGUAAGGUAACGGCUUACCAAGGCGACGAUCAGUAGCCGGACUGAGAGGUUGAUCGGCCACAUUGGGACUGAGACACGGCCCAGACUCCUACGGGAGGCAGCAGUGGGGAAUAUUGCACAAUGGAGGAAACUCUGAUGCAGCGAUGCCGCGUGAGGGAAGAAGGUUUUAGGAUUGUAAACCUCUGUCUUCAGGGACGAAAAAAGACGGUACCUGAGGAGGAAGCUCCGGCUAACUACGUGCCAGCAGCCGCGGUAAUACGUAGGGAGCGAGCGUUGUCCGGAAUUACUGGGUGUAAAGGGAGCGUAGGCGGGAUCGCAAGUCAGAUGUGAAAACUAUGGGCUUAACCCAUAAACUGCAUUUGAAACUGUGGUUCUUGAGUGAAGUAGAGGUAAGCGGAAUUCCUAGUGUAGCGGUGAAAUGCGUAGAUAUUAGGAGGAACAUCAGUGGCGAAGGCGGCUUACUGGGCUUUAACUGACGCUGAGGCUCGAAAGCGUGGGGAGCAAACAGGAUUAGAUACCCUGGUAGUCCACGCCGUAAACGAUGAUUACUAGGUGUGGGGGGACUGACCCCUUCCGUGCCGCAGCAAACGCAAUAAGUAAUCCACCUGGGGAGUACGACCGCAAGGUUGAAACUCAAAGGAAUUGACGGGGGCCCGCACAAGCAGUGGAGUAUGUGGAUUAAUUCGAAGCAACGCGAAGAACCUUACCAGGUCUUGACAUCGUAUGCAUAGCUCAGAGAUGAGUGAAAUCUCUUCGGAGACAUAUAGACAGGUGGUGCAUGGUUGUCGUCAGCUCGUGUCGUGAGAUGUUGGGUUAAGUCCCGCAACGAGCGCAACCCUUACUGUUAGUUGCUACGCAAGAGCACUCUAGCAGGACUGCCGUUGACAAAACGGAGGAAGGUGGGGAUGACGUCAAAUCAUCAUGCCCCUUAUGACCUGGGCCUCACACGUACUACAAUGGCUGUUAACAGAGGGAUGCAAAGCCGCGAGGUGGAGCGAACCCCUAAAAGCAGUCUUAGUUCGGAUUGUAGGCUGCAACCCGCCUACAUGAAGUCGGAAUUGCUAGUAAUCGCAGAUCAGCAUGCUGCGGUGAAUACGUUCCCGGGCCUUGUACACACCGCCCGUCACGCCAUGGGAGUCGGUAACACCCGAAGCCUGUAGUCUAACCGCAAGGAGGACGCAGUCGAAGGUGGGAUUGAUGACUGGGGUG